CCUACGGGAGGCAGCAGUGAGGAAUAUUGGUCAAUGGCCGCAGGGCUGAACCAGCCAAGUCGCGUGAGGGAUGACGGUCCUAUGGAUUGUAAACCUCUUUUGUCAGGGAGCAAAGGGCGCCACGUGUGGCGCUUUGCGAGUACCCGAAGAAAAAGCAUCGGCUAACUCCGUGCCAGCAGCCGCGGUAAUACGGAGGAUGCGAGCGUUAUCCGGAUUUAUUGGGUUUGAAGGGUGCGCAGGCGGAAUGUCAAGUCAGCGGUAAAAUUUCGGGGCUCAACCCCGUCGUGCCGUUGAAACUGGCGUUCUUGAGUGAGCGAGAAGUAUGCGGAAUGCGUGGUGUAGCGGUGAAAUGCAUAGAUAUCACGCAGAACUCCGAUUGCGAAGGCAGCAUACCGGCGCUCAACUGACGCUCAUGCACGAAAGCGUGGGUAUCGAACAGGAUUAGAUACCCCGGUAGUC
rnacentral:rRNA from 1 species